rnacentral:tRNA from 1 species
GGAAUUGUGCCUGAAUGCUCA